rnacentral:tRNA from 1 species
AGUAAGGUGGCUGAAUUGUAGGCGUUAAAUUGUAAAUUUAUUUAUGGGUAUUCCUCUUAUUA